GAUGAACGCUGGCGGCGUGCCUAAUACAUGCAAGUCGAGCGGACAGACGAGGAGCUUGCUCCUCUGACGUUAGCGGCGGACGGGUGAGUAACACGUGGAUAACCUACCUAUAAGACUGGGAUAACUUCGGGAAACCGGAGCUAAUACCGGAUAAUAUAUUGAACCGCAUGGUUCAAUAGUGAAAGACGGUUUUGCUGUCACUUAUAGAUGGAUCCGCGCCGCAUUAGCUAGUUGGUAAGGUAACGGCUUACCAAGGCAACGAUGCGUAGCCGACCUGAGAGGGUGAUCGGCCACACUGGAACUGAGACACGGUCCAGACUCCUACGGGAGGCAGCAGUAGGGAAUCUUCCGCAAUGGGCGAAAGCCUGACGGAGCAACGCCGCGUGAGUAAUGAAGGUCUUCGGAUCGUAAAACUCUGUUAUUAGGGAAGAACAAAUGUGUAAGUAACUAUGCACGUCUUGACGGUACCUAAUCAGAAAGCCACGGCUAACUACGUG
rnacentral:rRNA from 1 species